CCCCGUCCGUCUCCAGGGUGUGAGGACUCUUCCCAUCAUCGAAGAAAUGGAUGGCCCUGAGGACGCCCGGCACACACCCCCUGCCGCCUGCCCGCAGGGCUCGCGUUUCAGCGUCGCUCUCCCGGGGAUUCACCAGGCGUGCUAAGCCACACAAAAGGGCAGUAGAAAAACUUCGCAAGGAGAUUCGGUUUCACACAGACAUUAUCUUUAUCCUGCAAACAAGUAUCCUCAAUGACCCACGGGUUUGGAAGAACUGAGAAGUGAGCACCCCGCUGGCUGGAAGGAAGGGGCAUUAUUUUCACUACCAGAUGAAGGCUCUGAGGAGAGAAUGAGCUUAGAGUUGGGCUUCUUUCUGCUGCUCAAAGAGUUUGAAAAGCCCCUUUGGGGACGUCACGAUCGGACAGUGUUUUACACAGAAUAGGUGCUUCAGAAACUCUAGCUUGAGAACCCCUCGUCCCCCCCGAUGUACAUGCUAGGGAGACCACCCUACUUCCUGGUUCCUUUCCCGUCAAGAGGCAUCUGCAGGGCAGCUGCACUUUGGAAGAUACCCCCUAAGGCACUUUGCACAUUUGCCUGUCUGGGACUAAAUGUCUGAUUUGCUGCCCAGUCUUAACCAGACAUAAUUCGUACUGAAUGAUUGAUUUGACACAUGUUUAUGGAAUGCCUGCUCUUGAUAGAUGCUGGUGUAGCUACAGAGAUGAAUAAGAUAUGAUUCCCAUCCUCAAACUGGUAGAAGAGAGGAAAACACCAUAAACACCACCGUGACAUAAAUCCUGAGGAAAUGUGGAAGGAAGAAGUAACUACCUGGGUAGCCAGGAACGCUUCACGGGGAGAGAAAACACAUUUGAGACUUGCUCUCUGAAAGGUUGUAAUAUGCUGUAUGGUGCAUCGGGGUGGCCUCCAGUGCACUUAGUGAAUUUUUGGAUUGAAAUCAAAGCCGGGAAAAUAGGGUGGCUAACAGAAACUGCUCUUUAGUGAUAUGGCUGCAUUUAAAAAAGAGGUUGAUGUUUUUAGUGUGAAAGAAAUGUGCUGUGGAGUGCCUCCCUGAGUUCGGAGAGGCUAAGGUGGGUGAAGCAGUGUCUGGGAAUUGAGAUGGAAAGGUUUAUUGUUCUGCACAGCAGAGAGAGAAGAUUGGGAGCCGGAAGGAUUGAUGGGGAAGAGUGAUGAGAGGGCCAAGGGGAAGUGCGAAGCCCGUUAGAUCUCGGAGAGUGGGUUUCAAAGUGGCCUGAAGUGGAAAAGAAUCCCUAGCAGUCCAACCGCGUAAGAAAGGACACGGUUGUCCACUGCUCUACUUGAAGUUGUCUGUGUUGCUCAUGUGCAUUGCUGAGUCUUUCUAAAGCUUCGUUAAACCCAACACAGGCAUGCAAAUGCUCAGUGGGGUAGUGACUUUGUUGAAAACUAGCUAAGGGCUGCAUUGCAUGCCUGGUUCUUUGUGGGGUGAAAGAGAGCGUGAGCGAGAAGUCCAGAAAUUCCAAGAUGGAACCAACCCAUGAAUGAAGAGUCCUUAGACCAGAGGUGGAUCUGAGAAUACAGGCUCCUCUGAAAUCUGCUAAAACCUUGGCAAAAGCAUUAAGCUGUCACCAGGAAUGAGGGUUCAUGGCAGUUUUCUCUAAAGAUUGGAGGGGGAGUGGUGAUUUUAGCAGCUAAUAUCCAGGUUUCAACUAGAAAUACAGAAUUCGCUGCACAGUACCACCCUCCCUAUGCUAGUGUCUUAUCAGUAGUAAUUACUUAGUGAUACCGUAUAGGUUAAAAUAAAAGCCUUGAUAUAAAACUUGGGUUCUCUGAAGCCGAGAUACCAAAUUAAACCGGAACACGUUAACUUUUUAUACCAUUUUUCACUUUAUUCUGCUCAUACACAUUUUGUUAUGAGAUGUAAAUAAAUGAAUGAACAAAUAAGAACAGUUACAGAUUAGCUUCUUUUGAGACAUUUACUUUGGCAACGUUGGUUAAUUGCGUGGAUUAUGAUGUGAAUUCCUCUGAUCCUUGGCCAAACACGCUGAUUUUGUCACACAUGAUUUACUGCGGCUUUUAGAUGAGUAAAUAUCCUUCACAUUGGAAAUUGCCGUGUUUGGCAACGUGCUGCUUAAGUAUAAAUUAGAAAUUUGUUUCUAUCUGCUCGAUCAAGUGUUGGAAGAAGUCCCAUAAUUUGUUUUCGGAAAAGCAACACAAAAUAUUUUUCUCUAGAGGCACAAUGUAAAUCUUUCAACCGAACGUUUAUUGAGGGCCGGCCACGCACUUAGAACUGUUCUAGGGGCUGAAGGAGGAUUCUGCUCAUGAGAUGGUCAUGCAGAAACAUACCUAACCAAAGGUUAAUCACACCACGAUAAAUGUAAAAAGUCAAAUGAAUAGUAGAAGUGUUGAGUAGUCCCCUGUAUCAAGGGGGACGAGCAAAAUGGUGGCUGGGCGUCAGAGAUACCUCUUAGGAGAUUUGUUACGAGCUGCAUUGUGAAAACACUUUUUAUUUUUUAGAAGCUUUAUUGAGCUAGGUUUGGAAUGCAAAACUAUACAUAUUUAAAUUGUAAAAUUUAAUCUUUUUUGGCAUGUGCAUACACCCAUGAGACCCCCAUCAAGUCAAGAUAAUACACGUAUUCAUCACCCCCUUCUAGUUUUCUUAGGCUCUUCUGCGGUUCCUCCCUCUCAUGCCUUUCCACCCCCAGGUAGUCACUGCUCUGCUUGCUGUCAUUGGAGUUUGCAUCUGCCAGACAUUUUUAUCUGGCUUCUUCUACAUAAUACAAUUAUUCUGAAACUCCUCCAGAUUGUUGCAUGUGUCUGUAGUUCACUUGUUUUUUUAAUUGUUGAGAAAUAACCCAUUAUAUGGAUAUAGCACAAUUAGUUUAUUCAUCUGUCUGUUGAUGGACGUAUGGAUGGCUUCCAGUUUUUUUUAAUGGGAAGUUGGUGAGAGAGUGCUGUGUGAUGAUUUUUCCUAUUUCUUCUAUAAAACUGAUCUGUUAAGACUAACUCUCUUGCCUAGAGCUGAUUUAGGUAAAUGUUCUCUUCUAGAAAUUUACGUGUUUUAUCUAACUUUUCAAAUUUCACUCUGCAAAUUUAUUUGCACAUUUAUUGGGCAAAAAAGUUUAUGUAAUUAUAAUAAUUUUCUAUAGUUACCAUUUUUUUUCUUUCACAAAAGUUUUAUGUGUUUGUGGCUUCUUCCACUUUUCCUGCGCUUGUUGCUAUGGAACAAAUCCCUUCAAAUCCCAUUUCCUUAACCCAACGACACCAGUGUUUUCAUGGUGGAUCUGCAGGCCAGCUAAGCUACACUGGACCUGAGGCUCUGGGCUCCAGGCUGCAGUUUUGGUUCAGUUCUGCUCCAAGUGUCCCUCAUCCUCUCUGGUCCAGUGGCUUCCUGGGGUCAUUGUGCACAAGAUAAAUGAGAGGAGCACAGGAGGACCCAUGGAAACACAUGAUGCCUCUCGAGUCACAGGUGUGUACCCAAAUGCAACCAACUCAUGUUCAUGUGCACCAUGACAUAUGCAUAAGGAUGUUCAUAUGUGUCCUAUUUGUAAGAAUAAUAACAAAAAGACAAUGAUAAUGGACAUUCUGGUCUUAUGCCUUAUUCCUGACUUUGAAACUGUUUCUUGAUUAAGCAGAAGGGUAGCUCUGGAUCAAGACAGUGUUAUUUGAUCAUGUUAAGGGAAUAUUCAUUUAUUUCUAUUUGAUUAAGAAUCUUGACUAAGAAUGGAUGUUAAAUUUAUCAAACACAUUACUGGCACCUCUCAUGGAAAUAAUAAUAUACUUUUCAUUCUUAGAAUAUGAUAUGAUGAAACAUGUUAAUACAUUUCUUCUGUAUUGAUACAUUUUACAUUUCUG